CUGAUAAGCAAGCCGGACAAGUUUCGAUGGAAGCUACAUCAGAACGGCAGUUUCUCAGUCAAGUCCUUGUACGAUGCAAUGGCUCAUAGUGAUGUUCCCAUUAAUAACAAAAAAUUGUGGAAGCUAAAAAUACCUCUAGCAGUGAAGAUAUUCCUCUAGUUUAGCAGAGGAGUCAUUUUAACUAGAGAUAACCUGGCACAACGGAACUGGCAAGGUAGUAAGACAUGUGUCUUUUGCCAACAUGACGAGUCUAUUAAACACUUGUUUUUUGAGUGUAAAUUCGCUCGUGCUAUAUGGCCAUAG
rnacentral:rRNA from 1 species